rnacentral:tRNA from 1 species
GGGGUUGUGGCUCAGCGGUAGACCAACUUACCUAGUACGUGUGAGGUCCUGGGUUCGAUCCUCAGCACCACA